AUUGAACGCUGGCGGCAGGCCUAACACAUGCAAGUCGAGCGGAGCGGCGGACGGGCGAGUAAUACCUAGGAAUCUGCCUGGUAGUGGGGGAUAACGUUCGGAAACGGAAGCUAAUACCGAAUACUUUCAGAUGAGCCUAUGUCGGAUUAGCUAGUUGGGGUGGUAAUGGCUGACCAAGGCUACGAUCCGUAACUGGUCUGAGAGGAUGAUCAGUCACACUGGAACUGAGACACGGUCCAGACUCCUACGGGAGGCAGCAGUGGGGAAUAUUGGACAAUGGGCGAAAGCCUGAUCCAGCCAUUCCGCGUGUGUGAAGAAGGUCUUCGGAUUGUAAAGCACUUUAAGUUGGGAGGCGUUACCGACAGAAUAAGCACCGGCUAACUCUGUGCCAGCAGCCGCGGUAAUAC
rnacentral:rRNA from 1 species